GAUGAACGCUAGCGGCAGGCUUAACACAUGCAAGUCGAGGGGUAACAGGGUGCUUGCACCGCUGACGACCGGCGCACGGGUGCGUAACGCGUAUAGAACCUACCUUUUACAGGAGAAUACCCCAGAGAAAUUUGGAAUAAUGCUCCAUAGUAUUAUUGAAUGGCAUCAUUUGAUAAUUAAACAUUUAUGGGUAAAAGAUGGCUAUGCGUUCUAUUAGCUAGAUGGUAAGGUAACGGCUUACCAUGGCAACGAUAGAUAGGGGUCCUGAGAGGGAGAUCCCCCACACUGGUACUGAGACACGGACCAGACUCCUACGGGAGGCAGCAGUGAGGAAUAUUGGACAAUGGAGGCAACUCUGAUCCAGCCAUGCCGCGUGCAGGAAGACGGUCCUAUGGAUUGUAAACUGCUUUUAUACAGGAAGAAACACUCCCUCGUGAGGGAGCUUGACGGUACUGUAUGAAUAAGCACCGGCUAACUCCGUGCCAGCAGCCGCGGUAAUACGGAGGGUGCAAGCGUUAUCCGGAAUCAUUGGGUUUAAAGGGUCCGUAGGCGGGCUAAUAAGUCAGGGGUGAAAUCCAACAGCUUAACUGUUGAAUUGCCUUUGAUACUGUUAGUCUUGAGUUAUAUGGAAGUAGAUAGAAUGUGUAGUGUAGCGGUGAAAUGCUUAGAGAUUACACAGAAUACCGAUUGCGAAGGCAGUCUACUACGUAUAUACU
rnacentral:rRNA from 1 species